rnacentral:piRNA from 1 species
UGGUCUGUUAGUCCUAGCGGCAGGGCGG